CCUACGGGUGGCAGCAGUGGGGAAUAUUGGACAAUGGGCGAAAGCCUGAUCCAGCCAUGCCGCGUGUGUGAAGAAGGCCUUCGGGUUGUAAAGCACUUUCAGUGGGGAAGAAAGCCUUGGGGCUAAUACCCUCGAGGAAGGACAUCACCCACAGAAGAAGCACCGGCUAACUCCGUGCCAGCAGCCGCGGUAAUACGGAGGGUGCGAGCGUUAAUCGGAAUUACUGGGCGUAAAGCGCGCGUAGGCGGUCUGAUAAGCCGGUUGUGAAAGCCCCGGGCUCAACCUGGGAACGGCAUCCGGAACUGUCAGGCUAGAGUGCAGGGGAGGAAGGUAGAAUUCCCGGUGUAGCGGUGAAAUGCGUAGAGAUCGGGAGGAAUACCAGUGGCGAAGGCGGCCUUCUGGACUGACACUGACGCUGAGGUGCGAAAGCGUGGGUAGCAAACAGGAUUAGAUACCCUGGUAGUC
rnacentral:rRNA from 1 species